rnacentral:rRNA from 1 species
GACGAACGCUGGCGGCGUGCUUAACACAUGCAAGUUGAACGGAAAGGCCCUGCUUUUGUGGGGUGCUCGAGUGGCGAACGGGUGAGUAACACGUGAGUAACCUGCCCUUGACUUUGGGAUAACUUCAGGAAACUGGGGCUAAUACCGGAUAGGAGCUCCUGCUGCAUGGUGGGGGUUGGAAAGUUUCGGCGGUUGGGGAUGGACUCGCGGCUUAUCAGCUUGUUGGUGGGGUAGUGGCUUACCAAGGCUUUGACGGGUAGCCGGCCUGAGAGGGUGACCGGCCACAUUGGGACUGAGAUACGGCCCAGACUCCUACGGGAGGCAGCAGUGGGGAAUAUUGCACAAUGGGCGGAAGCCUGAUGCAGCAACGCCGCGUGCGGGAUGACGGCCUUCGGGUUGUAAACCGCUUUCGCCUGUGACGAAGCGUGAGUGACGGUAAUGGGUAAAGAAGCUCCGGCUAACUACGUG